GUCAGCUCGUGUCGUGAGAUGUUGGGUUAAGUCCCGCAACGAGCGCAACCCUUGUCUUUAGUUGCCAUCAUUAAGUUGGGCACUCUAGAGAGACUGCCAGGGAUAACCUGGAGGAAGGUGGGGAUGACGUCAAAUCAUCAUGCCCCUUAUGCUUAGGGCUACACACGUGCUACAAUGGGUAGUACAGAGGGUUGCCAAGCCGUAAGGUGGAGCUAAUCCCUUAAAGCUACUCUCAGUUCGGAUUGUAGGCUGAAACUCGCCUACAUGAAGCUGGAGUUACUAGUAAUCGCAGAUCAGAAUGCUGCGGUGAAUGCGUUCCCGGGUCUUGUACACACCGCCCGUCACACCACGGGAGUUGGAGACGCCCGAAGCCGACUAUCUAACCUUUUGGAAGAAGUCGUCGAAGGUGGAAUCAAUAACUGGGGUGAAGUCGUAACAAGGUAGCCGUAUCGGAAGGUGCGGCUGGAUCACCUCCUUUCUAAGGA
rnacentral:rRNA from 1 species